rnacentral:rRNA from 1 species
UACGGGGGGAGCAAGCGUUGUUCGGAUUUACUGGGCGUAAAGGGCGCGUAGGCGGUCAGCACAAGUCAGUUGUGAAAUCUCCGGGCUUAACUCGGAAAGGUCAACUGAUACUGUGCGACUAGAGUGCGGAAGGGGCAACUGGAAUUCCAGGUGUAGCGGUGAAAUGCGUAGAUAUCUGGAGGAACACCGGUGGCGAAGGCGGCAUUCUGGACCGACAUUGACGCUGAGGAGCGAAAGCCAGGGAGCAAGCAGGG